rnacentral:rRNA from 1 species
GACGAACGCUGGCGGCGUGCCUAAUACAUGCAAGUCGAACGAGAGCGCCCGGUGCUUGCACUGUUCAAUCUGGUGGCGAACGGGUGAGUAACACGUGGGUAACCUGCCCAUCAGAGGGGGAUAACAUUCGGAAACGGAUGCUAAAACCGCAUAGGUCUUCGAACGGCAUGGUUUGAAGAGGAAAAGAGGCGCACGCUUCUGCUGAUGCAUGUACCCGCGGUGCACUAGCUAGUUGGUGAGGUAACGGCUCACCAAGGCCGUGAUGCGUAGCCGACCUGAGAGGAUGAUCGGCCACAUUGGGACUGAGACACGGCCCAAACUCCUACGGGAGGCAGCAGUAGGGAAUCUUCCGCAAUGGACGCAAGCCUGACGGAGCAACGCCGCGUGAGUGAAGAAGGUUUUCGGAUCGUAAAGCUCUGUUGUUAGGGAAGAAUAAGUGCUAGAGUAACUGUUAGCGCCUUGACGGUAUCUAACCAGAAAGCCACGGCUAACUACGUG